UAUCUCUGUAGAGUCUGCAUAUCAAUAAGCGGAGGAAAAGAAACUAACAAGGAUUCCCUUAGUAACGGCGAGUGAAGCGGGAAGAGCUCAAAUUUGAAAUCUUCAAGGUUUUACCUUGACGAAUUGUAGUUUAAAGAAGUGUUUUCUGUUGAAGUUUCGGUAAAAGUUCUUUGGAAUAGGACAUCAUAGAGGGUGAGAAUCCCGUAUUUGACCGUUAUUUUCAGCUGUGUGAUACACUUUCAAAGAGUCGGAUUGUUUGGGAAUGCAGUCCAAAAUGGGUGGUAAAUUUCAUCUAAAGCUAAAUAUUGGCGAGAGACCGAUAGCGAACAAGUACCGUGAGGGAAAGAUGAAAAGAACUUUGAAAAGAGAGUUAAACAGUACGUGAAAUUGUCAAAAGGGAAGCGUUUGACACCAGUGUUGUUUUCUCGAAAAUCAAUUAAAAAUGGCUUGAUUUUGUGUUGUAUUGACCUUAAAAGCUUUCUGCACUUUUUUCAUGUCUUUUUUAAUGCACUUUUCGUUUAACAAGUCAACAUCAAGUUUCUUUUGUUGUAAAAGAGUCAUUGGAAGGUGGCUUUCUUUUCGGAGAAAGUGUUUAUAGCCUUUGACUCCUGCAAUCGGAGAGACUGAGGUCUGCAGCGUAGAUCCUUCUUGGAUUAGAUUCAUUUGUGCUAAGUUAUAGCUUUUUAUAGACAACUUGUUGACUAUAUUUAGUCUUGUAGCUUACUCGCUUAUGCAAUUUUACCUACGCUUAGGAUGUUGAACGCGCACAGAGUCUC
rnacentral:rRNA from 1 species